rnacentral:rRNA from 1 species
GACGAACGCUGGCGGUGUGCUUAACACAUGCAAGUCGAACGGAAAGGCCCUGCUUUUGUGGGGUGCUCGAGUGGCGAACGGGUGAGUAACACGUGAGUAACCUGCCCUUGACUUUGGGAUAACUUCAGGAAACUGGGGCUAAUACCGGAUAGGAGCUCCUGCUGCAUGGUGGGGGUUGGAAAGUUUCGGCGGUUGGGGAUGGCCUCGCGGCUUAUCAGCUUGUUGGUGGGGUAGUGGCUUACCAAGGCUUUGACGGGUAGCCGGCCUGAGAGGGUGACCGGCCACAUUGGGACUGAGAUACGGCCCAGACUCCUACGGGAGGCAGCAGUGGGGAAUAUUGCACAAUGGGCGGAAGCCUGAUGCAGCAACGCCGCGUGCGGGAUGACGGCCUUCGGGUUGUAAACCGCUUUCGCCUGUGACGAAGCGUGAGUGACGGUAAUGGGUAAAGAAGCACCGGCUAACUACGUG